GAAAACCAGCUGCCUUGGAAGACAAAACUAAUCCAGAUGUGUUGCCAACGGAAAUUUAGGAAACAUUUGUAGUCUCUAACCAGGUCAAUCUGUCUGCCUACUCCCUAUUUAAAAGGUUUUUAAAAAGAGCUGGAAUGAAGCCAGAGGUCCGAGCUGAAGUUGUUUCUGCAUGGCGCACAAGGAUGCAAGCCAUUCGCGUACAAAUUCAUUUAUCGGGAACAAAAACAGAUAUAAAAAAUAACAGUUUUA